rnacentral:misc_RNA from 1 species
GUGAAGAACGCAGCGAAAUGCGAUAAGUAGUGUGAAUUGCAGAAUUCAGUGAAUCAUCGAAUCUUUGAACGCACAUUGCGCCCCUUGGUAUUCCAUGGGGCAUGCCUGUUCGAGCGUCAUUUGUACCUUCAAGCUCUGCUUGGUGUUGGGUGUUUGUCUCGCCUCUGCGUGUAGACUCGCCUUAAAACAAUUGGCAGCCGGCGUAUUGAUUUCGGAGCGCAGUACAUCUCGCGCUUUGCACUCAUAACGACGACGUCCAAAAGUACAUUUUUACACUCUUGACCUCGGAUCAGGUAGGGAUACCCGCUGAACUUAAGCAUAUCAAUAAGCGGAGGA